rnacentral:rRNA from 1 species
AGUGAACGCUGGCGGUAGGCCUAACACAUGCAAGUCGAACGGCAGCACAGUAAGAGCUUGCUCUUACGGGUGGCGAGUGGCGGACGGGUGAGGAAUACAUCGGAAUCUACUUUUUCGUGGGGGAUAACGUAGGGAAACUUACGCUAAUACCGCAUACGACCUACGGGUGAAAGCAGGGGAUCUUCGGACCUUGCGCGAUUGAAUGAGCCGAUGUCGGAUUAGCUAGUUGGCGGAGUAAAGGCCCACCAAGGCGACGAUCCGUAGCUGGUCUGAGAGGAUGAUAGGCCACACUGGAACGGAGACACGGACCAGGCGCCUACGGGAGGCAGCAGUGGCGAAUAUUGGACAACGGGCGCGAACCUGAUCCAGCCAGACCGCGUCGGUUGAGGAGGCCUUCGGGUUGUAAAGCCCUUUUGUUGGGAAAAAAAAGCAGCAGGUUAAGACCCCGCUGUUCUGACGGUACCCGAAGAAUAAGCACCGGCUAACUUCGUG